rnacentral:lncRNA from 1 species
CCAGCCUGACCACCCCCGUCGAUCGCACCCCAUCGCCAUCGCUAUCUCUCUUUCCCCUCUCCUCCAUUCCCGAGUAAUCACCCAUCCGCACCAAACAAGCCACGCCACCAACUAUUUCCCUUUUCAUCCUACCUCCGACCCCCUUUGCCCUUUAAUACACAAGCCCUCCUCUGAUGCAACUCCCCUUCCUCACCUACCCUACAACCGUCCCCCUCACCCU